UACGAUACCACGUUCUUCGGAGAGAGAGAGGAGAGAGAGGCGAAGAUGCUCGAGGUGGUGCUGAACGAUCGGCUGGGGAAGAAGGUGCGAGUGAAGUGCAACGAGGACGACACGAUCGGCGACCUGAAGAAGCUGGUGGCGGCGCAGACGGGCACCCGCGCCGACAAGAUCCGCAUCCAGAAGUGGUACACCGUCUAUAAGGAUCACAUCACCCUUAAGGACUACGAGAUCCAUGACGGCAUGGGCCUCGAGCUCUACUACAACUGAAUCGAAAGGUUGGUUGAUUGGUUGAUCCACAAUUCAAUAGCUGAAUACAGUACGACUUGGUGAAAUCACAAUGUUUUCGGGUCGGUCAAUCCAUGAUAAUUGGCAGUUGUACAUUCUGGUGACUCUGGUAAAACAUCACGACUUUGCCAAGAUUGGACGUUUCGAUUCCAAUUCAGAACAGAGAAACUUGUUGUAUAUGUGAGGACCAAGAAGUUAGCAUACAGGAAAGUAAAGAAGAAAGAUGGAAUACAUGGAGAGGUAAGAGUGAUGAUACUCGAGCAAAAGGCGAGAAAAAGAAGAAAAGAUGUAUAGUGACCUUAAUCCAUUCUUCUCACGAUUUGUUGGUCAAUCUUUUCAGACAUAUAUUAGUCUGUGAUCAACGUGAAUAUUCUACAAACAAAGAUGAGAAAUGAAGGAGCAAAUUCCACAUGGCGGCCUAACAAUCUCAUUCAUGACUUUGCAUGCCUACCAAAAAGAAUGUUCGUUCGUCCUUCAAGUCCACGCAUGCUGUUCCUUUCAUGCCUAAAUCACCUGUACUAUAUACUUCCGAGAUUUCUCAAUCUUAAACCAAUUCAAAGUUUCAAAGA